GAACUGCGGCGGGCUGAGGCACAGCCACUUGCCCCAGACCAGUCAGCAGAGAGGAGGAGAACGCGGGGCGCACAUACCUGCCAAGCCUUCUCUGUCCUCAGGCUAUGCCAUGUGCCGCAGGAAGAAAAGCUAAGAAUCUAUGGCGCUGGAACACACGUUAAAACAUUUGACUGAAGCCGCCUUUGGAUACGACAGACACACUGUCAUCCCAAGGAAUUCAUUUGUCCACAUCCUUUCAUCCUACCCUGCAUCCCACAAGAAAAAAAGCAAGGUUGUCUGCUCUUGUCACUUCGCUAAGAAUGCAGAAAUGCACGAUUUAUUUCCUGCUCUACAGGUGCUCUAAAGAGUAGACCACCUAGGAGUAGACGGGUGAGUGGGCGCCGUGGAGACGAGAGGUGGGAUCGCUGUCCUUCAAAUUGAAAGGUUGUCAGGUGAAGAGGGGAGUAGACUAAUCCACGGGGCUGUAAGGACGGACUCGUGUCUUGGAAUCGAAAUGACAAAGGGAGAACGGCAUCAAGUGUGUGUUUGGAAAACAUUUAAAAUUGUUAAAGGAGUGGCUUCCCUUUCAUCUCUCCCGGAUCUGUGACACCCACCGAGGACAGCAACCACAGAGGAGAGAGGACACAGGGAGCACCGGCGCUGACCCAAGGCCUGGGCGGAGGACGGGGUGCGAUCCAGACCUGUGGGAACUUCCCGUGUCCGUCCGCUCCGAAGGCCUCAUCCUGUCCCUCCCAGGAAGUACUUGUUGAAUACACGUUUGUUUGACAAGGGUUGCUCUUGCGGGCUCCUUUGGCCUUGGGCAGUAGAUGUGAUGGAGAACGCUGCUCUCCUCCAAGCUCCCCACAUUUGGUCAGGCAGAUGGAAAAGCCCAACCAGCGCGAUUAAGGCAAGGGUUCAAAUUCAGAUCAGCUUUACGGAGUAUUAAUCUGCAACCUGAAUCACCAAAAAGGUUUAUGGCUGUACCAGCUCGUGGCACGGUAAGUAUUUCAUACUGUCCAGGAAAAACUCCCGUCUAACCCAGUGCUGUGUCCCGGGAGGCACUGCAGUACGUCUGGUGCUCGGGAAUUCCAUGUCGAGGGCCGUGCACACUCCUUCUAAUCAAGGCUGUGGACACGCCUGUGCAACAGCACAACAGCUCUUUAGUCCCGUAAAUGUUUACUCUCCUUACUCCCAAAUUUAGCUCUAUUUUGUUCAUGCUGAGGGGCGGUCCGGGGAUGCAACUGAACUGUAACUUUUUGGUCUUAAAAUAUUUAUCAUGUGGCUGCCCACCUGACGGCAAGCAGACAGUCCCAUAAAUAAUUUCUUUAAGCAGAGUUUGAAAGAUAAAGCCAUGAGUAUACUUAUCGCAGUCUCUAGUGGGGUAGCCUAGAACAUUCUUGACUACAGCAAGAAGAAUCCCAACACGGACACGUAAACGCGCAUGGGCCCCCCCGGAGUCCCUCCGGCUGAGCCAGGUGACCUGGGGUUGUCCUGAGCCCCCCGGGGUGCUGUGUCAGGAGUAAUGCUGAGCACUCACUCAUCAGCCUUGUAAUCUGCAGCAGACACUCUAAAAGACCAAAUUCCCCCAAAUUAUCCUUAAACCUUUCACAGUAUACCAUGGAGUUAAUAAAUCAUCUUAUGAAAUUUAACAUUUUUGUCUCGUCCUUUCUGCUAGCGAAUGGCCGAAGCAAACAUACGACAUCACUUCUGGGUGAACGUGGGUGGGGUCUCCCACGCAACAGGGCCUGGAGGGUUUGCAGCUGGCUUAUGGGGCCCCUGUACCCCUCCUCCACAUGCAAAUGUCUCUUAACUUCCCCACAAAUGAGAGCGAAUGAUAAACGUGAAAGGUGAUGUUUUAAAAACUCUGUAUUCAAUUAUUCACACCAAAGGAUAUCCAUUAAAAUUAUGAACAUCUCUAAAUAUAUUUCAUGUAUCAUACAUAUAUAUACUUUAUAUGUAUAAUUACAUAUCGACAAAAGAUUUCUUGCUGCUCCUAAGCAUGUAAGUAAAACAAAGGUAGAAUUUGCAAUGUAACACCCAUAUAUGCAUAUAUAUUGGCUGUUUGAAUUAUGAAUUUAUUUACAACUUGCCUUAGGUUAUAAUAAAUGAUUACUGUUCUGUGAUACAAACAUAAUGGUAAGGGUUUCUUUUAAAUACAAAGACUGUAAA